AACGGAGCAAUCCGGUCCGC
rnacentral:snRNA from 1 species